rnacentral:rRNA from 1 species
UACGAAGGGGGCUAGCGUUGCUCGGAAUUACUGGGCGUAAAGGGAGCGUAGGCGGAUAGUUCAGUCAGAGGUGAAAGCCCAGGGCUCAACCUUGGAAUUGCCUUUGAUACUGGCUGUCUUGAGUAUGGGAGAGGUUAGCGGAACUCCGAGUGUAGAGGUGAAAUUCGUAGAUAUUCGGAAGAACACCAGUGGCGAAGGCGGCUAACUGGCCCAUUACUGACGCUGAGGCUCGAAAGCGUGGGAGCAAACAGG